rnacentral:lncRNA from 1 species
GAUAACAGAGAGUUUUGAAGUUUAACCUAAUAUCAAAAGUUUAAUCAAAUACUAAACUUAGUAAUCCUAAUAUUUAUAUAUCGAUAAUAGAGAGUUUUUAAGGGAGCAAGAAGAAAGUGGCUUGAGAAAGACGACUUCUGAUCUAAACAUCAGAGCUGAUGAAGAGGGUGAUGGGGAAAAACUAGUGUACCUAACAGUGAGCUACCAUUCAUGUAUGUUUUUGGCAUUGUCUAAUUUUGUAGGGAAAACAGAUUUAUUUCCUCUCAUUCUCAUAUAUCAGCAUUCAUCAUCGCCAUGCUUGGGUUGAAAAUAGUUUUGUACAAUCACACAAAGCUUGCCCUAAAAUCCAAUUUCGAGAAUCAAAAUAUACAUAUCUUACACUUGGGUUCUGUUAUGUUCUAAACCACGAUGAUGAGUUUAUGUGCAAUGGAGAACAUCAUUCAUCAAUCAUAUCUAUCAUCCAUAAAUAACACAUUAAAUAAUAAAUCAUACACACAUAAUACACAUAAUACAUGUAAUAUAUAACAGAGAAUGUAAUAUAUGACAGAGAACACUUUGAAUUUCAAAACCGCAACUCAUAGAGUGGUUGGCACAAGCCGCAACUCAGAGUGCGGUUGGCAGCGCCGCAACUCAGAAUGCGGCUGCAGUUCACAAUAACCGCAUUUCAUAUUGCGGUUGGUAGCCGCCGCAGAUCGUGAUGCGGCUGUUUGGAAACGCCUUUCGAAAGGCGGCAGCCAUAACCGCUGAUCGAACUGCGGUUAUGGCGUUCUGAGACUAACCUCUCUUUGGCUGGUCUUCUUCCUCCGCGCUUUAUCUUCUUCCUCGAGCUUUAUCUACUGCAGCACCACCACCAAAUAUACCACCAACACUUGCACGAAUCAACACCACUGAUCACCAACACUUACACAGUCUCUCGGCUUUAGACAAUCAACAGUAAUAGCAAAGAGGUGAGGGAGGUGCACUGUUAGGGUUUAUAAUAAUCAACAGUAAUAGCAAAGAGGUGAGGGAGGUGCACUGUUAGGGUUUAUAAUCAAAGUUAAGUUGUUGGGUGUUAGUAGUUAAGAAUAGUGGUUAGGAAACAGUAAUCAUUAAAUGAGGUUUGACUAAAUUAAAUAGGGACAAAAUGGUAAUUUGGGAGGUGUAGGGAGAAAGGAGUGAGGUACAGGGAGAAGCACUCCCAAAAACUCUUAGGUGUUUGAUUGAUGGUCUCUCCAACGUUCUUUCAAUGUCUUGUCACAAUCAUCUUUUAUGCACAUCUAUUCAAAAUGUAUACAAUACAGUAAUUGAUUCCACCCAAAAUUCUUUAAAAAU